rnacentral:lncRNA from 1 species
CGCAGGCGGCCGCGAGGGCCUGAGGAGGAGGCCGCCGCUCCCCCCGAGGCCCACCCACGGGGCCGCCGCCGGAGGGAAGCCUCGGGCUUGGGUCCCCGGGGGCCCCUGGCGGGUCCCGCGCCGCACUCACCGUGGAGGCCUGCAAGGGGCAAGGGCGCUUCUGAGCGUAGCUCCGAGACUGCGGCCGCUUCCUUUCCGAGUCCGCUCCUCAGGCGGCAGCGGCGGCGGCGGCGGCGGCGGCUUUAGUGGCCUCGGCGGCGGCAGCAGCUACCUCGGCUUGGGAAUCCGCGGCGGCGGUGGCGGCGGCUCCACUUCCGCUCCGAUCACCACUUCCGCUUCGGCCCAAGCCCCGCCCCGGCCUUGCGCAGUGUUCUCAUUGGGCAAGCGGGACACGGGGCUACAUCGGCAGCCCGAAAGGGGCGUCGAAGGAGGGAGGAGGAAGAAGAGCCGAGGACUGAAGAGGCCCCGUGAAGUGCCAGGAUAUGAACCUGUGAAGACCCUUUUUUUUUUUUUCAGAGAACUUGUGAGCUUACAAAAAACUAUGCAUAAUGUACAGAAUUCCCAUAACAUCACCCCUCCACUAACACCUUACAUUGUUGUGGAAUGUUUGUUACAGAUUAUGAGAGAACAUGAUCAGACUGUCACCACUAACUUUGGUCCUUAGGUUAUACUUGGUAUAUUUUUAACAUAUACCUCCUAUUGUUAACAUUAGUUAAUAUUAUUAAUAUUAGUAUUUACAUUAGUUAUAGUUCAUGAGAGAUCGUGCACUUAUUUGUAUUGUUACCACAGUCCAUCUUCCACCGCAUGAAUCACUGUGUUAUACAGUCCCUUGCCUUGUACAUUCUAUCCAAAGUGUACACUUAGUGGCUCUCGCUUUCAUCAGAAUGUAUGGUCAUCGCCCCAAUAAACCUUUGAACAUUUUCCUUAGUCCAAAAGAAAAAAAUCCCAUAUCCCCAUAUUUUUUACCCUUAACAUUGAUAAUAGCACCUUCUUUGACACUGAUGGAAGAAUAUUAUAAUAUUGCUCUUAAUUGUAGUCCAUAAGUUACAUUUUGUAUUUUUCCCCACACAUUGCUAAUAUUCUUACCACCUUGUAAUAGUGACAUCAUUUGUUCUAGUUCAUAGAAGAACAUUCUUGUAUUUGUGUUGUUCGCCACAAUCCUCAUCCACCUCUGGGUUCAUCAUAUUAUUCAGUCCCUAGAUUAUUCUCUAGUUUUCUUUAAAUUAACAUUUACGUCCCUAGAAUACACCUUUCAGCCACAAUCCCAUUUAUAAACCAGCCGUGUUAGGUAUACUCACUAUAAUGUGUUACCAUCAACUCUAUUUCCAUACUUUUAAGUCAAAUUAAUUGAAAAUUCUAUAUAAAGUAUUAGUACCCCUUCUCAGUCCUCACCUUAUCUCCUAGUAACCUGUAGUCUAAGUUUUAACUCCAUGUGUUUAUUCUUCACAUUUAAUUCAUAAUAAUGAGACCAUUCAAUAUUUGUCCUUUUGUGUCUGGCUUAUUUCACUUAGCAUAAUUCCAAGGAGGUCUUUUUAAAAGCCUGUGUAAAUAAUAGUAGUAAUGGUAAUAAUACAACCGCAAAAAAGAAAAACUGAAACCAUAGC